GACGAACGCUGGCGGCGUGCUUAACACAUGCAAGUCGAACGGAAAGGCCCUGCUUUUGUGGGGUGCUCGAGUGGCGAACGGGUGAGUAACACGUGAGUAACCUGCCCUUGACUUUGGGAUAACUUCAGGAAACUGGGGCUAAUACCGGAUAGGAGCUCCUUCUGCAUGGUGGGGGUUGGAAAGUUUCGGCGGUUGGGGAUGGACUCGCGGCUUAUCAGCUUGUUGGUGGGGUAGUGGCUUACCAAGGCUUUGACGGGUAGCCGGCCUGAGAGGGUGACCGGCCACAUUGGGACUGAGAUACGGCCCAGACUCCUACGGGAGGAAGCAGUGGGGAAUAUUGCACAAUGGGCGGAAGCAUGAUGCAGCAACGCCGCGUGCGGGAUGACGGCCUUCGGGUUGUAAACCGCUUUCGCCUGUGACGAAGCGUGAGUGACGGUAAUGGGUAAAGAAGCACCGGCUAACUACGUG
rnacentral:rRNA from 1 species